rnacentral:rRNA from 1 species
AUGAUAGCUAAUUGUUCAUGCAAGUUAUUUGAAACAAUUGGAAUCCCGUGUCGCCAUAUCAUCCAGGUGUUGAGGGCCGUAAAUCAAAAUGAACUUCCAUCCUACUACCUUAUGAAAAGAUGGGACAAAUGGUGCAAAAGGGAUAAUGUGUAUGACGACCAUGGGAAUUUACUAGAAGAGAAGGCAACUGACUCCUUGAAUGAGGCUACGAGGUAG